rnacentral:rRNA from 1 species
CGUGCUUAACACAUGCAAGUCGAACGGAAAGGCCCUGCUUUUGUGGAGUGAUCGAGUGGCGAACGGGUGAGUAACACGUGAGUAACCUGCCCUUGACUUUGGGAUAACUUCAGGAGACUGGGGCUAAUACCGGAUAGGAGCUCCUGCUGCAUGGUGGGGGUUGGAAAGUUUCGGCGGUUGGGGAUGGACUCGCGGCUUAUCAGCUUGUUGGUGGGGUAGUGGCUUACCAAGGCUUUGACGGGUAGCCGGCCUGAGAGGGUGACCGGCCACAUUGGGACUGAGAUACGGCCCAGACUCCUACGGGAGGCAGCAGUGGGGAAUAUUGCACAAUGGGCGGAAGCCUGAUGCAGCAACGCCGCGUGCGGGAUGACGGCCUUCGGGUUGUAAACCGCUUUCGCCUGUGACGAAGCGUGAGUGACGGUAAUGGGUAAAGAAGCACCGGCUAACUACGUGCCAGCAGCCGCGGUGAUACGUAGGGUGCGAGCGUUGUCCGGAUUUAUUGGGCGUAAAGGGCUCGUAGGUGGUUGAUCGCGUCGGAAGUGUAAUCUUGGGGCUUAACCCUGAGCGUGCUUUCGAUACGGGUUGACUUGAGGAAGGUAGGGGAGAAUGGAAUUCCUGGUGGAGCGGUGGAAUGCGCAGAUAUCAGGAGGAACACCAGUGGCGAAGGCGGUUCUCUGGGCCUUUCCUGACGCUGAGGAGCGAAAGCGUGGGGAGCGAACAGGCUUAGAUACCCUGGUAGUCCACGCUGUAAACGGUGGGUACUAGGUGUGGGGUCCAUUCCACGGGUUCCGUGCCGUAGCUAACGCUUUAAGUACCCCGCCUGGGGAGUACGGCCGCAAGGCUAAAACUCAAAGGAAUUGACGGGGCCCCGCACAAGCGGCGGAGCAUGCGGAUUAAUUCGAUGCAACGCGUAGAACCUUACCUGGGUUUGACAUGGGAUCGGGAGUGCUCAGAGAUGGGUGUGCCUCUUUUGGGGUCGGG